GCGGGGCUGCUCGGUUUGUUGAGGCAGCUACAUCCCCGGGGCCAAUGAGCAACCUCCGGGAGCUGGCGCUGCUUGGAUCCUGGUCCAAGUACCUGGCGCCCACCUGCAACAGCAGGUCCAUGGAGGAUGUCACGCCGACGGCUAUGGCGGCUCCGCA
rnacentral:other from 1 species